CAAUGCUUAGAAGCCCUCAGUGGAAUCUGAAGAUACUCUAGAGUUGAUUUGGUUGUCAGAUUGGACAACAAAACACUUUUUGACAUGCCAGCUAAGGAAUGAUUGGCAUUCUUUAGCAACAUGAACCUGAAAGAAUGAAGACCCUGAAAGAAGACGACACCAGAAGAUCCUGCUGGUCUUCUAUGUGAAUGGAGAGUAACCUGAUUGUGCAAACAAUA
rnacentral:lncRNA from 1 species